GCAAUCUACCUUUUACAGAGGGAUAGCCCAGAGAAAUUUGGAUUAAUACCUCAUAGCAUAGCAAUCUCGCAUGAGAUCACUAUUAAAGUCACAACGGUAAAAGAUGAGCAUGCGUCCCAUUAGCUAGUUGGUAAGGUAACGGCUUACCAAGGCUACGAUGGGUAGGGGUCCUGAGAGGGAGAUCC
rnacentral:rRNA from 1 species